rnacentral:lncRNA from 1 species
AAUUUGGUGCUGUUCUAAUUUCAACACUCAAUUUCAAUAUGCCCAAAUUCAUUCUCAAAGUCAAUCUGGUAGAGGUCAUGUUUUAAAUAAAUAAUCAAAUGAAAUCCUACACUGUAUGCCAAAGCUCUACUAAGAGUUCUUUUUAUUAUAUUUAUUCACAUGCAUAAUAUUUUUAACUCGCAAAUUUCAAGUAUACGAUGGUUUAAUGUGCAUUUUUAUUUUUUCUUGUUUGUAAGAAAUACAGGUUUUGGCAAAUGGCUCAAGUUCAUUGUUGUCUUUUUGGAAUUUAUUAAUGUGCACCAAGUAUGGGACUUGAAAUAAAGUAUGUCUAUCAAUAACAUAUCACCUUUGCCAUUGGUCUGUAUUUAUUUUCAAUCCAUUAUUGAUUUCCUCAAUAGUUAAAUGUCUUCAAAUAAAAAGUUAAAAUUAAUUUCAUUUCUUUUAAAUGUUUUACUGUUUACAUGUAGAUUUAUUUAUUUUUGAUAAAAGAAUGAAGUUCUAGUAACAAUUACUUAACAUACGGGUCUUCUAUAGUUGUUUUGAUCCUAUUGGUAAUGACUGCAUGCUUUUGCAUUUUAAGACAAAAGAAAAUUCCAAAGCAGCAAGAGAUGAAGUGAUAAUCCUUAUAUAUGAAAGGAAAUUGGAUAUAAUACAAGGUCUUCUUUGAUUAGAGGGUUAUAAAUAAUUUUUCAUAAUAGCAGCUUUGGUCUAAUAAACUGUUUUUGUAAAGCUCAUUUUUUUUUUUUUUUUUUUUUUUUAAUUUGAUACAAAUAUUGUGUUCACAUAAUCAACAUAUAGUAAUGUUGAUUUUAGACAAAGAUAAUGAUGCAUUUCACCUUGUGUUACCAACAUCUCCAACCACUUGCUCAUACUUGUAUUUUUUCUGAGAAAAAAAUAUUUUUUGCAGAAUUUAUGCUGACAAUCCAAUUGCUUAUAAGAAUUUAUAAAUAAAAUAAGAAUAAAAUGAAAGAAAGUUACUAACUUGGGAACAAUCAAUACAAGUGAAUUUUAUUGGAAGUCUUCACAGACUAUGAAAGAGUGUCCAAAAUCCAAAAACAAAUGCUUAAUAAACACAUCUUCAAGGUUUAUCCAUGUUGCAAUAUUGGUAAUCUAAACAAAAUAUAUAAGUACUGGUUAUUAAAAUUGAACGCAAAUUAGUGUCAGAGACAUUGAAUGAUAGAAAUUAUUGUUAACAUAAUUGUUAAUGCAGUUUGUACUGGAUUCCUUUGUCAAAUGCAAAAAAAUGCUCUUUGAUAUUAUAUUGGUUAGAAAUAUACUUAAAAACUUUAUGUUGAUUCACUUCUUGAAUUAUUUUUACAAUACAAUUACAACUCUUGUAGAAAGAUGUCUCUGACCAAACUUUAAAUUAUUUUAUUUUAUUUUCAAUUUUUGUGCUUGGAUAAUGAGCUACAAACUAUGUAAUUUUAAGAACUAUGUAAAAUCUAAAGGUAGUUCCGAUUAAUCAAUUAAUCUUUGGAAAAAAAAAUUAAAUUCUAAAAGAAAUAUUAAGUUGAGUUUAUAUUUUAGAAGGUUCUAGCUCUUAUCAGUAUAAAUUUGAUAUAGUAUUUACAAAAAUGUUCUUAUAUAUAUAUAUAUAUAUAUAUAUAUAUAUAUAGAUACCAAAACAAAUUAAAUUUUGAUGUUUCUAAGAUAUAAUUAAAUUCUUUAGAAUUUUUAUAAUCCCACUCACACAAAGACAUGUCUGAUAAGUGAUCCUAAGGUUUUUUUAACAUGGGUAUAAUUAAGAGUAAUUGAUCUACUAAAAAUAGGAUUAAUAAUCCUUUAACAGAAUCUUUACUUUUAUUUUGAAAAAUUUAUUUGGUAAAACUCAUCUAUAUUCAAAAUUAUUUUUUAUUUAAUUAUUUUAUUUUAUUGUUUUUAUUGAAUAUUAUUUUCUGUAACAUGUUCUGAAAAACUUUUGCAUAUAAACGAAACAAGUCACAGUCCUUCUAUAAUUCACUUAAUUUUAACAUCUCUAUAAUAUACAACAAUAGAAUCUAUAUAUAUAUAAUUCAAACUUAUUUUCAAAUCAUUUUAUUUAAGAUGAUUAUUUGUAACCUAAUAUUUUAUUCUAUUUCAAAUAAAAUAUCAAAAUGAUAACAAUAAUAAUACUUGAAAGUACAAAAUAAUUCUUUGUUGAAUAUUUAAGACAUUUUAAAAAGUUUUGUAUGUUAUGGUUAUUUUUUGAUUUAUUUGCAUGUGUAAAUUGCUUAUUUUUUUUCUAUUUUUAUUUUUUAUGUCAUAUUAAUGGAAAAUAAUUGUGUGAUUCUUGGCUAUAUUGUUUGCAAUGCUCUUCAUUAUAAUAGCAAUGUAAGUUAUCACUUGUAAUUGCAGAAGUUGCAAGUCAUAUCCGUUAUGGCAUCAACAUUGGUGGAGCCAAUAGAAUUAAAUCAAAAAUAUUUAUUGACAUAAAUUUUUCAUGCUCAUAUAGAAAUACUUUUUAAAAUUGGUACAUAAGAUUUAAAAUUUUAAAAAUUCUGUAAAGAUUAUAAUUUUUCAAAAAUGUUAUUAAAGGCAUUGUCAGUUACUUGUGCAAGAAAUAUAUAUAUAUAUAUAUAAUAUAUAUAUUGUAUAAUAUAUAUAUAUAUUGUACAUAAUUUAUACUUUUUAAAUAUAUUUUUAACU